AUAAUGAUACUUCGAGCUGGCGGAGAACCCGGCAGAGGUGAAAUUCCUAUGA
rnacentral:ncRNA from 1 species